CUACCCGUCUGCUGACCAGUAAAAGAAGACAUGACCACAUUACUCCCAUAUUAUCCUCCCUGCACUGGUUGCCUGUGCAUUUUGAGAUUGUUUUUAAGAUCUUACCUUUGGUCUUUAAAUGUUUAAAAGGUCGGGCACGUCCUUACUUAUUAGAGCGCAUGUUCCCGGCAGAAGUCUGACAUCAGGGUUCGGUGCCUUGAGCACCACCGCAGUGGCGUGCCAGGUCCACCUUAACUUUGUUACAGGACUUGUUACAUGCAAUAAUGUUUGCGGCCGCAGAGACUUUCCAAACCUUGGUGCGACAUGUGGAAUAGACCCAAGCAUGGAAAGGUCCCGGAGAGGAUGUUUGUUUAAUGAUUGUUGGAAGGUUAACAUUCAGCCUGCCACCCCGAGCAACAAAAUCCCCCUCAGAGCACUGAAACUGUGUACAUUAUUUGUUAUGCAUGUCAAUUUUCCUCCAUUUAGGAGGUGAUUUAACAGGACAAUACAGCGGGACUGCAGCCUUGUAUGGGGACUGUUGUCUUCCUGUGUAAAACACUAUGCAGCCAUGCAUGGCUGUCUGAAUGUUAACAUUAUGUGGCAUUGUUAAAACUAACAGGGCAAUCAGCUUGACUGCACAAGAAAAAUAUUUUUUUUUAACAUCAAAUAUUGAUACAAAGUGAUUUUAUUGUUUUUCUUUUUUAAUAUUGCACUGUCCCUCAUUAUUUUUGGUACUAUUUGAAAAUAUGCAAAUUAAUGCUGCAACAAGAAAAUAAAAGUAUAAAGAUAAUGUAACAAUGUGCAGUACAAUUAUUAAAUGGAAUGAAAAACUU